rnacentral:rRNA from 1 species
CCUACGGGUGGCAGCAGUGAGGAAUAUUGGUCAAUGGGCGCUAGCCUGAACCAGCCAAGUAGCGUGAAGGAUGACUGCCCUAUGGGUUGUAAACUUCUUUUAUAUGGGAAUAAAGUGCAGUAUGUAUACUGCUUUGCAUGUACCUUAUGAAUAAGGAUCGGCUAACUCCGUGCCAGCAGCCGCGGUAAUACGGAGGAUUCGAGCGUUAUCCGGAUUUAUUGGGUUUAAAGGGAGCGUAGGCGGGUUGUUAAGUCAGUUGUGAAAGUUUGCGGCGCAACCGUAAAAUUGCAGUUGAUACUGGCAGCCGUGAGUACAGUAGAGGUAGGCGGAAUGCGUGGUGUAGCGGUGAAAUGCUUAGAUAUCACGAAGAACUCCGAUUGCGAAGGCAGUUCACUGGACUGCAACUGACACUGAGGCUCGAAAGUGUGGGUAUCAAACAGGAUUAGAUACCCCGGUAGUC